rnacentral:rRNA from 1 species
GGCGGACGGGUGAGUAACGCGUAAGAACUUGCCCUUAGACUGGGAUAACAGAGGGAAACUUCUGAUAAUACUGGAUAAGUUAGUAUAUCGCAUGAUAUGCAAAUGAAAGCUACGGCACUAAAGGAGAGCUUUGCGUCCUAUUAGCUAGUUGGUAAGGUAAGAGCUUACCAAGGCGAUGAUAGGUAGCCGGCCUGAGAGGGUGGACGGCCACAAGGGGACUGAGAUACGGCCCUUACUCCUACGGGAGGCAGCAGGC